CAAAUAGCUCUCUACAUUAUAUGACGUCCAACAAUACCACCAAUCAGCUUAUGAACACCAUAAAACAUUGAUUAAAAUAUUCAAAGAAUUUUUAUUCUCUAGUCUUGAUAACAAGAGCAUUUCUACUCUUAAGUCACUUUGUUGGAUACAGAAUAAAUAAUUAA
rnacentral:lncRNA from 1 species